rnacentral:rRNA from 1 species
GCCAGCAGCCAUAUCACCCUGCAGCUCUCAACUGGCUACCCACUGAAGCUAAGCAAGAUUGAGCCUGGUCAGUACCUGAAUGGGAGACCUCUGGGAAGUUAUGGUUGCUGCUGGAA